UGGCGCUGGUGAUGAAGUGCUUUCUUUCUCCCUUACCAAUGUUCCCUGAUGUGACACUGAUGCGACUAAGUGAUCUGAAGCCCGCCCCCAGGACUGUCAGUUUUCUUUUUGUUUCUGUUCGCUGGCUUUAAACCCUGCUGGUGGCUGGACUUGUUAAGCACUAUGUCAGGACUGUAUGACAGGUCCUUCUGGAGGUGACAUGGCAGUUUGGAUGACAUUUCAAAUGAAUACAUUCAUUUUCUGUCAGAGCCAACAAAUUGGAGGGGGCUGCUGAAUCACUGAAGGAGGGUUACGAUGAUCUAACUGCCAGGGGCACAGCUGCAUUAUUGUCAACAGAAAGUAUGAAGUCUAUGGCUCACAUGACGAUUAUUUCAUGGUUGGGAUUCCCUAAGAUUUUCCCAUAGGACAAAUCCUUAUGCCAUUGGACUAAACUUUUUAAAUAAAUGAAUAAAAAAUGUUAUUUACACUG